rnacentral:rRNA from 1 species
GAAGCCGGAAUUGCUAGUAAUGGCAGGUCAGCAUACUGCCGUGAAUACGUUCCCGGGCCUCGUACACACCGCCCGUCACACCAUGGGAGUUGGGAAUGCCCGAAGCCGGUGACCUAACCGAAAGGGAGGAGCCGUCGAAGGCAGGCUUGAUAACUGGGGUGAAGUCGUAACAAGGUACC